UUGUUAGCGUUUAAAUUUACCAAUGCUAUUCUUUACUAAUAUCAAGCUACUUAUUUCAUCAUAGGUCCGGCCGGAUUACUAGAUGUAGCUAGGAGUUGUUCUUUAGUUCAUUUAGUUUCUAUAUUGUCUGUGAUUCGCAUUGACUGGCCGGUCACUGGAUUCAUGCGGAUUCAUUCAAUUCAAGAUGGCAGGAAAAAACAAGGAUAACUUUUAAAAGACUUCUGUUUGUUAUUAGAUUCCUUUUUGAAUAGUUUGUGUUCCUUAUAAAAGUAUUUUACUUCAAACUUCCUGAGUGUCUUAUUUUCAGCAUCUUCUAUAGUACCAAGCUAACAUUUCAGAAUUGAGAUGAGUAAGUCUACGCUCACCGGUAAGUGAAUUUAUUUCUGUGCUUAGUUAUGAAAAUUGUUAUGGAUAUAACAAUAUGCAGUUUCUAUGAUUACUGAAAAGUAAUUUACGUAUUAUUAACCACUAUCUUAAGAAAUUAAUAUCACGUAAAGUCCAAAUAAGGUUAUAAAAGGUAAAAACGCGAUCAUCACGCUAUAUUCGGCGAAAAUUUUAUCAUUGUGAUUAAUUUCAUUAUCGAAAAGUGCAAAACACAGCUUUAUAAGGUAGAUUUGUAUUAAAACUGUUGUCUUGCAAACAGCAACAGUGAAUGCAAAGUACUUUACUUUACUUUAUUUGAAAUAUCGCGUGCGUAUUAGGCCUAAAUGCAAAAUGGAGAAUUCGCAAUUCCUCCCAUUAUUGUGAAUUAGCAGUAGCAACUGUAGCAAGUCAAUAAUUAAUAAUCAUAAAUUUUAUUUCUCUUUGAUUUAAUUGAUCAAGUAAUAACUGAAUUUUUAGCAUGAACUGACGAUGUAAUAUCCUACAGAAAAAAAAAUCUUAAUACCGCGAUGUAAUAUCCACCAUGGAAUGCCAACCCUACUUUAGAGUAUUGUACUCUAUAUCAUUUAAGCGUGAUCUAUAAUCUAUAACACUAAUAGAGUACGCUAAAAUAGCCUUUUUUUUUACACAUUUUUACUAGUCAUAUAAUAUUACGCAAAAACACAUAAUCAAAACCAAAAAAAGUCGACUAUUUACUUUGGACGAUCUUGAACGCAGCCACUUAUGUCAAACGUCAAAUGUCACAUGUGACAAGUUAUUUUGAGAAGUUUUUGAGGUUUGUUUUGUUUGUGACUUUGGUUUUGUUUGUUUGGAAUACUUUUAUCCAUUCGUUAUAACGUGAUUGAUGAACAUUGAUAACGCCGAUCAAGCAUCCUGUACUGAUAAUAAUAACGCAAGUACCCCAUCUAAAAAUCGAAAAGUUUUGACGAAGAAAAAAAAGGACACAGAAGUACACACAACUUUGGGAAAAUGAGUUUUCAUGGCUAAGAAAAGACUCAGAAAGUGAUACAAAUGCAAAAUCCAUAAUCUGUGGCGAAGUUUUCUCUCUAUUCCAUCAGCUGGAGUUGUACACGAUAGGAAUAUUUACAUAUUGUAUGAUGAAUAUGAUGAUGAUAAAGAAAACGAUGAUUUAAAUAUGAAGAUAUAAUUGGAAUAAUCAUAAAAUGAGAAUAUGCAUAUAAAAAUCUACAUAAUGAGAAUGGCUGAGGGUCAGCAUUGAUCUAUUAAAUCAAGAUCGUUAAAACACUUUAAUAUAAUUACAAAGAAAAGGCCGAUUUAAUAUGGAGACACAAGAAUAUAAGACAUAAAAUGAAAGGAUUGGAAUACCUACAUUAUGAGAAUAUGGAAAGAAAAUACUUACAUUUUAUACACAUAAUACAAGAAUGUAUCGGAAUAUUAAGAGAAUGGCUGUCUAAAGCUCUAUUAAAUCAAGAUGGUUAACACACUUUAAUAAAAUUACAAAGAAAAUGUUGAUUUAAUAUGAAGACACAAGAAUAUUAGAAUUAAAAUAUAAUAAUUUGAAUACAUUAUGAGAACAUGGAAAGAAACUUACAUUUUAUAUACAUAUAUUAUGAGAAUGGCUGUCUGAACAGUAUUGUCCUAAUAAAUCAAAAUGUUUAACACACUGUUGUUAUUAUAAUAAAUGAUGAUUUAAAUAUAAAAAUACAAGAAUAUUAUAUAUAAAAUAGAAGAAUUGGAAUAUAUUUUGAUACUAAGAUACCUGCAUUAUAAAUAUAUUAUGAGAAUGGAUGACCGAACAGUAUUGUUCCGAUAAAUGAAGUUGAAUGGUAUGCUGAAGUGCAAGCGGUGCUCACACAAGGAUGUGAUUGGUAUGCCGAAGCACAAGCGGUACUCACUGAAUGAUAAUACACACACUUUAAUAUUGUUAUAAUAAAAGGUGAAUGGUAUGCCGAAGUGCAAGCGGUGCUCACACAGGGUUGUGAAUGGUAUGCCGAAGCACAAGCGGUGCUCACCUAAUGAUAAUUAGUAUAUAGUGGCUGGUAUGCCGAAGUGCAAGCGGUGCUCACACUGGGUUGUGAAUGGUAUGCCGAAGCACAAGCGGUACCCACUAUACUAUUUAUCUGAUAAAGAAUUCUGAGGAACAAUGAACAUACAGUGUAGCCGACCAAAAAUUCACCUAGCAACGUUGUAGCGUAGCAGACCAGCGUCAGACCAGCAUUAAGUACAUCAAUAAGAACAGCCGGAAUAUGGUUUACUAAUUACUUAUAGUCUCUUUGAGUUUUGUUUUAAUUAUGAUUGCUAAGUGCAUUUAAUAUCACCGCAUAGAUAUAAUAACUUUAUUAAUUUUGCUAAUUCAUUCAGUUUGUUAACAUAAAUUUAGAACUUGUUAGUUAGUGUUCGAAUGGCCGACAGGGAAUGGGGACAUUCCCAAUAACAGGACGGCCGACUGUUAGCGUUUAAAUUUACCAAUGCUAUUCUUUACUAAUAUCAAGCUACUUAUUUCAUCAUAGGUCCGGCCGGAUUACUAGAUGUAGCUAGGAGUUGUUCUUUAGUUCAUUUAGUUUCUAUAUUGUCUGUGAUUCGCAUUGACUGGCCGGUCACUGGAUUCAUGCGGAUUCAUUCAAUUCAAGAUGGCAGGAAAAAACAAGGAUAACUUUUAAAAGACUUCUGUUUGUUAUUAGAUUCCUUUUUGAAUAGUUUGUGUUCCUUAUAAAAGUAUUUUACUUCAAACUUC